rnacentral:tRNA from 1 species
GCGGGAGUGGCGGAAUUGGCAGACGCACCAGACUUAGGAUCUGGCGGGUGACCGUGGGGGUUCAAGUCCCUUCCCCGCACCA